UUCCCUGAGUCCCUGAUUUCACGCUGCCAAGAAAAGCCUCUAGCGAGGCGGGAGGUGCCUGUACCGCAAACCGACACAGGUAGGCGAGGAGAGAAUCCUAAGGUGAUCGAGAGAACUCUCGUUAAGGAACUCGGCAAAAUGACCCCGUAACUUCGGGAGAAGGGGUGCUCUGGUAGGGUGUUAAAGCCCGAGAGAGCCGCAGUGAAUAGGCCCAGGCGACUGUUUAGCAAAAACACAGGUCUCUGCAAAACCGCAAGGUGAAGUAUAGGGGCUGACGCCUGCCCGGUGCUGGAAGGUUAAGAGGAGAGGUCAGCGCAAGCGAAGCUUCGAAUUGAAGCCCCAGUAAACGGCGGCCGUAACAAUAACGGUCCUAAGGUAGCGAAAUUCCUUGUCGGGUAAGUUCCGACCCGCACGAAAGGCGUAACGAUCUGGGCACUGUCUCAACGAGAGACUCGGUGAAAUUAUAAUACCUGUGAAGAUGCGGGUUACCCGCGACAGGACGGAAAGACCCCGUGGAGCUUUACUGUAACCUGAUAUUGAAUUCCGGUGCAGCCUGUACAGGAUAGGUAGGAGCCUUGGAUUCCGGAGCGCUAGCUUCGGAUGAGGCGUUGGUGGGAUACUACCCUGGCUGUAUUGGACUUCUAACCCAUGCCCCUUAUCGGGGCAGGAGACAGUGUCAGGCGGGCAGUUUGACUGGGGCGGUCGCCUCCUAAAGAGUAACGGAGGCGCCCAAAGGUUCCCUCAGAAUGGUUGGACAUCAUUCGUAGAGUGCAAAGGCAUAAGGGAGCUUGACUGCGAGACCUACAAGUCGAGCAGGGUCGAAAGACGGGCUUAGUGAUCCGGUGGUUCCGCAUGGAAGGGCCAUCGCUCAACGGAUAAAAGCUACCCCGGGGAUAACAGGCUUAUCUCCCCCAAGAGUCCACAUCGACGGGGAGGUUUGGCACCUCGAUGUCGGCUCAUCGCAUCCUGGGGCUGUAGUCGGUCCCAAGGGUUGGGCUGUUCGCCCAUUAAAGCGGUACGCGAGCUGGGUUCAGAACGUCGUGAGACAGUUCGGUCCCUAUCCGUCGCGGGCGCAGGAAAUUUGAGAGGAGCUGUCCUUAGUACGAGAGGACCGGGAUGGACAUACCUCUGGUGUACCAGUUGUCUCCAAAGGCAUCGCUGGGUAGCUAUGUAUGGACGGGAUAAAUGCUGAAAGCAUCUAAGCAUGAAGCCCCCCUCGAGAUGAGAUUUCCCAUUACGCAAGUAAGUAAGAUCCCUCAAAGAAGAUGAGGUUGAUAGGUCUGGGGUGGAAGCACGGCGCCGUGUGGAGCUGACGGAUACUAAUCGAUCGAGGACUUAAUC
rnacentral:rRNA from 1 species